UCAAACUUGGUCAUUUAGAGGAAGUAAAAGUCGUAACAAGGUUUCCGUAGGUGAACCUGCGGAAGGAUCAUUAAUGAAGUUUUUUGAGGUCUGACCUCAACUUCUCAUCCUUUGUUUAACUAUAAUUUGUUUGCUUCGACAUGUCAGUCUUGAUUGACGAUUGGGAAAUGGUAAUUCAUUACUGCGUCCUAAUUAGUUACUGUCGAUAGCCUCCUUUAAAAUUCUUUGAUAUAAAUCAUGCCUGAAAAACUGUUUUAUAAAUAAAAAACAAAAACUUUCAACAACGGAUCUCUUGGUUCUGGCAUCGAUGAAGAACGCAGC
rnacentral:misc_RNA from 1 species